CUGGGGAGGGACCCGGCUCUGUGCGAAGCCGCCCCCCACCCGCGGCGGCAGACUAACGCCCCGGGAAAUGCCGCGAGACUCCUCGAGACCCGAGGAGGUGGGAGUCUGUGGGGGAGGGGGUGUCCGAGUGAAGGGAGAUCAAUCUGAACAGAGAACUAAUCCAGGGGCAGCAGACCCAUCCACACAGCCGUGGAGAAGGUAGUAAUGAUGUCAAUGGCAGAAUCCCGAGGAACAUGGAAACUAAGAGUCUGAAGUGUUGAAGCUCUGGGUGAAGACUCAGUUAUACCUACUCCAGGUACCAUGGCGCCUCCCUCAUUGCAUGCUUUGGCAUAUCAGGGCGAUGAGACCUUGUGAUAUGACAGGAGAAAUUAAGCUCAGAGGCCCCAGUCACAUACUGGGGUUCCAUUGGAGCUGGGUCUCUAGCCUAUGCAGAUGCUUGCCGGUGUUCCAGACAGUGGGAAGAACGAGUGAGAAUGUUCAGCGUCUGGGGAACUGACAAUGUGACAAGGCGGCUUGUGUGAAAGGGGCAGGAGUGCAAACAAAUGUCUGAUUCUGUUUCCCGUCAGGCCCAUUGUGACCAAGGCCUGCAGGCAAUGCGUGGGAGCACGGGUUUCUGAGCAGACUGAUUGUAGGAAGGUAACUGAUGAGAUAAAUGGAAAAGGGACUGGAGGAGGGGAGCCUGAAAGUGGAAGGCCAUGGACAGACUGGAGAUAUUCAGGGCAAGGAAUACAAUGGCACUAGCAUUGACAAAGAAGAAAGGUCACAUUUAGAGUCAUUUCUGAACUACAUUUGACAAACCUGGUGAGGCAGUGUUUUGGGGGAGGGCGUAGGGAGCAAAGCAGGAGGAUUGCAAAGUAUUUUGUUUGGAAGCUUAGCAGACAGAUCACCCAAGUGGAGAAGGGAGCUGUUGGGGGUAGAGAGGAGAUGAUAAAUUCAGAUUUGAAUCAUAUUAUCAGCAAAUGUAAAAGGGAAUGAAGUAGUGAUCCAAGCUAUAUGGAUAUCCCUGGAAUCAUGAUGCUAAGUGAAAGAAACCAGAUAUAAAAGGACAAAUAACAUAGGAUUUCAUUUAUAUGAAAUAUUCAGAACUGUCAAUUCUAUAGAGACAGAAAGUAGAUCAGGGGCUGGAGGAAUUGGGUAGUGACUGUUAAUAGAAAAAGGUUUCUUUUAGGGGUGACAAAAACGUUUUAAAAUUAAAAAUGCAUGGUGAUAGUUGCAUUACUAUAACUAUACUAAAAUAUGAUUGGAUUAUACACUUUAAAAUGGGUGAACUGUAUGGCAUGUGAAUCAUUAUCUCAACAAAGGCAAUUGUGUAUUUUAAAAGAGUGAUAAUGGGUACAGAGUUUCAGUUUGGGAAGAUGAAAAGCUCUGGAGGUGGAUGGAACAAUGUGAAUGUAAAACCAUUGAAACGUACACUUCA